AAUCAUCUCACUGGAAUAAGUCUAAUGUCUCACAUUAAGCAGUACAUUUAUUUCCUUUGUUAAGCCAUGUGAAUUUUAUGAAACUUCCAUGAUUUUUGAGAUGGUAAAUACAGGAAAAUCUGAUCGUGAUCUGAAGGGAACUAACGAAGAUCCAAAGGGAGGAACUAGUCUUGUUUUUUAAAGCUAUUUAAUCCACAAAGUGAAAUAGAAGAUUGAGGUGGAAGACUGAGCCAAUUGCCCAGACCAGCACAAUGAAUGGCACCUAGUCAUAACUUGGUAAGAAGCAAUGAGCAGACACACAGCUACGGUGCUUCCGAUAUGUGGCAACAGUGCAGUGAGUGUCACUUGACAGAUCCAUCUGGAGACGAGUCAGACUAGAAGUAUCUUAGAUAACUUCAAUACUUCAUACAACUAAAAGUAAUUUAAUGGUCAUACUUGCAAAGAAGUCUGAGCAAGA
rnacentral:lncRNA from 1 species